CGACGGUGAUGAAAAACCGCAAGAAAAACACACCAUCUUUCGGGGCUGAUUUGGCGCCGCCGCGCGUGCAAUGAUGCUAAUUCUGCAAUUCUGAUGUCC
rnacentral:snoRNA from 17 species